rnacentral:rRNA from 1 species
GUAGCAAUACCUGCUGGCGAGUGGCGCACGGGUGCGUAACACGUAUGCAACCUACCCUAUACUGGGGCAUAACCUUUAGAAAUGAGGGCUAAUACUCCAUGUAAUUAUCUUAAGGCAUCUUUAGAUAAUUAAAGAUUUAUCGGUAUAGGAUGGGCAUGCGUCCCAUUAGUUAGUUGGUAAGGUAACGGCUUACCAAGACUGUGAUGGGUAGGGGUCCUGAGAGGGUUCACCCCCACACUGGUACUGAGACACGGACCAGACUCCUACGGGAGGCAGCAGUAAGGAAUAUUGGGCAAUGGGCGAGAGCCUGACCCAGCCAUGCCGCGUGCAGGAAGACGGCCCUAUGGGUUGUAAACUGCUUUUAUACGGGAAUAAAGUUGGGUAUGUAUACUCAUUUGCAAGUACUGUAUGAAUAAGCAUCGGCUAACUCCGUGCCAGCAGCCGCGGUAAUACGGAGGAUGCGAGCGUUAUCCGGAUUUAUUGGGUUUAAAGGGUGCGCAGGCGGAUAUAUAAGUCAGUGGUGAAAUUCCUGGGCUCAACCGAGGGACUGCCGUUGAUACUGUAUAUCUUGAGUGUAGUGGGCGUUGGCGGAAUGUGUCAUGUAGCGGUGAAAUGCAUAGAGAUGACACAGAACACCGAUAGCGAAGGCAGCUGACGAUACUUACACUGACGCUCAUGCACGAGAGCGUGGGGAUCAAACAGGAUUAGAUACCCUGGUAGUCCACGCUGUAAACGAUGAUCACUAGCUGUAGGCGAUACACUGUCUGUGGCUAAGCGAAAGCGAUAAGUGAUCCACCUGGGGAGUACGUUCGCAAGAAUGAAACUCAAAGGAAUUGACGGGGGCCCGCACAAGCGGAGGAGCAUGUGGUUUAAUUCGAUGAUACGCGAGGAACCUUAUCUGGGCUUGAACGUAUGGUGCAUUAUGGAGAAAUUCAUAUUUCUAGCAAUAGACUUC